UACACACCGCCCGUCGCACCUACCGAUUGGAUGGUUCGGUGAAACUCUCGGACCGUAGCUUGGACACCUUCGGGUGACCUCGUUGUGGGAAGUUAUUUAAACCUCAUCAUCUAGAGGAAGGUGAAGUCGUAACAAGGUUUCCG
rnacentral:rRNA from 1 species